GAAGGGGAGAAGGGGUGAAACCCUAAUUCAAGAAAAAUCUUCAAUUUGAAAGGGGAAAUCGGCCCUAAUCUGAUGCAUGGACAUAGAUUCUUGAUCAUCUAGACUUUCUACUCAUGAGGUACAUGCAAUUUUGAGCGCGAACUCGGGAGGCAACGAGACGAACAUAUGGAAUACGUAUCAACUACUUACGGGUCAAGGUAUAAUGGGAACUAGAGGUUCGCGGACUGAUGAACGGAACAAGGUUUGGCGACAAAUACGAGAUCGGGUCAGCAAUGUCAGUUCAUCCAUCCGUCAGGUUAUAUCGCCGACUUAGACGGGUCAUCAUGUUUUACUUGCCUUUUUCGGCAUUCGGUAGUUUUAAACCGUGCAAGCUUCAUGAGUCAGACGUAGUGUCUUGUUUUGUUUACAUUCAAGUUUAGAGUUGUAAAAUGGAUUGUAAACAGGUUUUGUUACCGUAACGGUUAUCCGUAUUACGAACGGUCAUGCCGAAAUUUUAUAAAAAUUGGCAUGAAAUA